AAAAGAAAUAAAACACCAAGAAUUAUGAAAAGAACAGGUUGUGUUCUCUUUGUGACAAUGUGUCGCACUUUGAUCUCAUCCAAAAUGUAGGAUGGGACAAAACGUUGUGAAUGUUUCUCUGGUGCUCGCUCAAAUUAGCUGACGAACGACGACGGAGCUUAAGAUUCGACUAGCGACGACGGCUCUUAAGAUUCGACCAGCGACGACGGCUCUUAAGAUUCGACCAGCGACUACGACGAUCUCUCUUCAACACUGUCGAAGCGAACUUCAAACCUCUCGAAUAUAUACUGUUCUCAGGACCAGCGACGA